CACGUAGGGCGCAAGCGUUGUCCGGAAUUAUUGGGCGUAAAGAGCUCGUAGGCGGUUUGUCGCGUCCGCUGUGAAAGUCCAGGGCUCAACCCUGGAAAGCCGGUGGAUACUGUCGGGCUAGAGUCCGGAAGAGGCGAGUGGAAUUCCUGGUGUAGCGGUGGAAUGCGCAGAUAUCAGGAGGAACACCAAAGGCGAAGGCAGCUCGCUGGGACGGUACUGACGCUGAGACGCGAAAGCGUGGGGAGCGAACAGG
rnacentral:rRNA from 1 species